rnacentral:rRNA from 1 species
UGUCCCAGCCGCCGCGGUAAUACGUAGGGUGCGAGCGUUAAUCGGAAUUACUGGGCGUAAAGCGUGCGCAGGCGGCUUUGCAAGACAGAUGUGAAAUCCCCGGGCUCAACCUGGGAACUGCAUUUGUGACUGCAAGGCUAGAGUACGGCAGAGGGGGAUGGAAUUCCGCGUGUAGCAGUGAAAUGCGUAGAUAUGCGGAGGAACACCAAUGGCGAAGGCAAUCCCCUGGGCCUGUACUGACGCUCAUGCACGAAAGCGUGGGGAGCAAACAGGAUUAGAUACCCUGGUAGUCCACGCCCUAAACGAUGUCAACUGGUU